AUUGAACGCUGGCGGCAUGCCUUACACAUGCAAGUCGAACGGUAACAGGUCUUCGGAUGCUGACGAGUGGCGAACGGGUGAGUAAUACAUCGGAACGUGCCUAGUAGUGGGGGAUAACUACUCGAAAGAGUGGCUAAUACCGCAUGCGAUCUACGGAUGAAAGCCGGGGAUCGCAAGACCUUGUGCUACUAGAGCGGCCGAUGGCAGAUUAGGUAGUUGGUGGGAUAAAAGCUUACCAAGCCGACGAUCUGUAGCUGGUCUGAGAGGACGAUCAGCACAACUGGGACUGAGACACGGCCCAGACUCCUACGGGAGGCAGCAGUGGGGAAUUUUGGACAAUGGGCAAAAGCCUGAUCCAGCAAUGCCGCGUGCAGGAUGAAGGCCUUCGGGUCGUAAACUGCUUUUGUACGGAACGAAAAGCCCCGGGUUAAUACCCUGGGGUCAUGACGGUACCGUAAGAAUAAGCACCGGCUAACUACGUGCCAGCCGCCGCGGUAA
rnacentral:rRNA from 1 species